UAGGUGUGACGCAGGAAGGUAGCCCAAGCCAGGCGAUGGUAGUCCUGGUGCAAGUGCGUAGGCCGAGUGAUAGGCAAAUCCGUCACUCAUACAGGCUGAGACACGAUGCGGAUAAAAAGUGGGUGAUCCUAUGCUGCCAAGAAAAGCAUCGACGCGAGGUUCAAGCCGCCCGUACCCCAAACCGACUCAGGUGGUCAGGUAGAGAAUACCAAGGAGAUCGAGAGAAUCGUGGUUAAGGAACUCGGCAAAAUGCCCCCGUAACUUCGGGAGAAGGGGGGCCUUCGACGUAUUAGGACUUGCUCCGAAAGCGUUUGGAGGCCGCAGAGACUAGUGGGUAGCGACUGUUUACUAAAAACACAGGUCCGUGCCAAGUCGCAAGACGAUGUAUACGGACUGACGCCUGCCCGGUGCUGGAAGGUUAAGAGGACCGGUUAGCCGCAAGGCGAAGCUGAGAAUUUAAGCCCCAGUAAACGGCGGUGGUAACUAUAACCAUCCUAAGGUAGCGAAAUUCCUUGUCGGGUAAGUUCCGACCUGCACGAAUGGCGUAACGACUUCCCAACUGUCUCAACCGCGAACUCGGCGAAAUUGCAUUACGAGUAAAGAUGCUCGUUACGCGCAGCAGGACGGAAAGACCCCGUGACCUUUACUAUAGUUUGGUAUUGGUGUUCGGUGUGGCUUGUGUAGGAUAGGUGGGAGACUUUGAAGCUUGGACGCCAGUUCAGGUGGAGUCAUUGUUGAAAUACCACUCUGGUCACUCUGGAUAUCUAACUUAGAACCGUAAUCCGGUUCAGGGACAGUGCCUGAUGGGUAGUUUAACUGGGGCGGUUGCCUCCCAAAAAGUAACGGAGGCGCCCAAAGGUUCCCUCAACCUGGUUGGCAAUCAGGUGGCGAGUGUAAGUGCACAAGGGAGCUUGACUGUGAGACUGACAGGUCGAGCAGGGACGAAAGUCGGGACUAGUGAUCCGGCAGUGGCUUGUGGAAGCGCUGUCGCUCAACGGAUAAAAGGUACCUCGGGGAUAACAGGCUGAUCUUGCCCAAGAGUCCAUAUCGACGGCAUGGUUUGGCACCUCGAUGUCGGCUCGUCGCAUCCUGGGGCUGGAGUAGGUCCCAAGGGUUGGGCUGUUCGCCCAUUAAAGCGGUACGCGAGCUGGGUUUAGAACGUCGUGAGACAGUUCGGUCCCUAUCCGCUGCGCGCGCAGGAAAUUUGAGAGGAUCUGACCCUAGUACGAGAGGACCGGGUUGGACGAACCUCUGGUGUGUCAGUUGUUCCGCCAGGAGCACCGCUGAUUAGCUACGUUCGGGAUGGAUAACCGCUGAAAGCAUCUAAGCGGGAAGCCGGCCUCAAGAUGAGAUUUCCAUGCCUUCGGGCGAGAGGCUCCCAGCCAGAUUACUGGGUUGAUAGGCCAGAUGUGUAAGCGUGGCAACACGUGUAGCUGACUGGUACUAAUAAGCCGAUGACUCG
rnacentral:rRNA from 1 species